ensembl:snRNA
AGGUUUGAUGAAAGGAGGGAAGGCCAGCACUGUCUUUGACAAGGACUGAAGAGGCUCUUGGGAUGGACAGCACACACACAGUUAGUGUGAUGACCUCAUUCUAGACUUUGGCCCCAAAGUUGCUCAAAACUUACUCUCUUU